GACGAACCGAGCGAACGUUGUUCGGAAUCACUGGGCUUAAAGGGCGCGUAGGCGGGUGCUCAAGUCCGGGGUGAAAUCCUCCAGCUCAACUGGAGAACUGCCUCGGAUACUGGGUGCCUCGAGUGUGGUAGGGGUGUGCGGAACUAUCGGUGGAGCGGUGAAAUGCGUUGAUAUCGAUAGGAACUCCGGUGGCGAAGGCGGCACACUGGACCACAACUGACGCUGAGGCGCGAAAGCCAGGGGAGCAAAUGGG
rnacentral:rRNA from 1 species